rfam:Felis catus isolate Cinnamon breed Abyssinian chromosome D4, whole genome shotgun sequence.
GGAGGUUGAGGUCCUGACUGGGGGGCAGAAGGAGAACCCAAGGAAGGCUGACUUGAAGGCCCCUCUUCUCUGUACCCGCAGGACUUCGGCCUGG